rnacentral:rRNA from 1 species
UACGGGGGGGGCUAGCGUUGUUCGGAAUUACUGGGCGUAAAGCGCACGUAGGCGGCGAUUUAAGUCAGAGGUGGAAGCCCGGGGCUCAACCCCGGAACAGCCUUUGAGACUGGAUUGCUUGAACAUCGGAGAGGUGAGUGGAAUUCCGAGUGUAGAGGUGAAAUUCGUAGAUAUUCGGAAGAACACCAGUGGCGAAGGCGGCUCACUGGACGAUUGUUGACGCUGAGGUGCGAAAGCGUGGGGAGCAAACAGG